GUGGGCUUGAGCCGUGGCUUUCGGAGCUAACGCGUUAAGUAGACCGCCUGGGGAGUACGGUCGCAAGAUUAAAACUCAAAUGAAUUGACGGGGGCCCGCACAAGCGGUGGAGCAUGUGGUUUAAUUCGAUGCAACGCGAAGAACCUUACCUACUCUUGACAUCCAGAGAAGCCAGCGGAGACGCAGGUGUGCCUUCGGGAGCUCUGAGACAGGUGCUGCAUGGCUGUCGUCAGCUCGUGUCGUGAGAUGUUGGGUUAA
rnacentral:rRNA from 1 species